UACAGAGGUCUCAAGCGUUGUUCGGAUUCAUUGGGCGUAAAGGGUGCGUAGGCGGCGCGGUAAGUCGGGUGUGAAAUCUCGGGGCUUAACUCCGAAACUGCAUUCGAUACUGCCGUGAUUGAGGACUGGAGAGGAGACUGGAAUUUACGGUGUAGCGGUGAAAUGCGUAGAGAUGUGGAGGAACACCAGUGGCGAAGGCGGCUUUUUGGUCUGUAACUGACGCUGAGGCGCGAAAGCGUGGGGAGCAAACAGG
rnacentral:rRNA from 1 species